AUUGAACGCUGGCGGCAGGCCUAACACAUGCAAGUCGGACGGUAGCACAGAGUAGCUUGCUCCUCGGGUGACGAGUGGCGGACGGGUGAGUAAUGUCUGGGGAUCUGCCCGAUAGAGGGGGAUAACCACUGGAAACGGUGGCUAAUACCGCAUAACGUCGCAAGACCAAAGAGGGGGACCUUCGGGCCUCUCACUAUCGGAUGAACCCAGAUGGGAUUAGCUAGUAGGCGGGGUAACGGCCCACCUAGGCCACGAUCCCUAGCUGGUCUCUGGGAAUGACCAGCCACACGGGAACUUAGACACGGUCCAGACUCCUACGGGAGGCAGCAGUGGGGAAUAUUGCACAAUGGGCGCAAGCCUGAUGCAGCCAUGCCGCGUGUAUGAGGAAGGCCUUCGGGUUGUAAAGUACUUUCAGCGGGGAGGAAGGCGAUGUGGUUAAUAACCGCGUCGAUUGACGUUACCCGCAGAAGAAGCACCGGCUAACUCCGUGCCAGCAGCCGCCGUAA
rnacentral:rRNA from 1 species